AAACCGCUUAGGGGUUAAGCCCGAUGAACCUGAAUAUCUGAAAUGAGAAAUUCAAUACUAUUAAAUGCAAAUUUGAUGGUAUGCACUUUUCUCAUAGUAGGACAUUGCAAUCCAUUAGAUUUGUUUAUUAAACGGCCCGUAUAGAAAGUUUAAACUAUCUGCAUAAUUUUUGAUUAUGUAUGUUUAAAACUGUUGCGGUGACCUAAUAAACGUUUGAUGGAUUUUAUAUUAAAUCAUGCUUAGCAUAUAUUUAUAUAUGCAUUACGAUUCUUAAAUCAUUUUGUUUUUUGAUUGCAGUAAUCGCAUGUAUUUGAUUAGCAAUGCGAUAGAUUUGGGAUACCUUCGGGACCCGUCUUGAAACACGGACCAAGAAGUCUAACAUGUGUGCAAGUCAUUGGGUAUUGAAAACCUAAAGGCGCAAUUAAAAUAACUAUUUUAAAUGGGAUUACAAGCAAUUAUUUAAAUGAUUGUUUCUCCAUCCCGGGGCGUUCUAUAUCAAACAUGGUUUAAGCAAUUAGAUCCUCUGUUUGAGAGCGUACCUUGAGCAUACAUGCUGU
rnacentral:rRNA from 1 species